rnacentral:rRNA from 1 species
AGGUUAGUGCAAUGGCAUAAGCCAGCUUGACUGCGAGCGUGACGGCGCGAGCAGGUGCGAAAGCAGGUCAUAGUGAUCCGGUGGUUCUGAAUGGAAGGGCCAUCGCUCAACGGAUAAAAGGUACUCCGGGGAUAACAGGCUGAUACCGCCCAAGAGUUCAUAUCGACGGCGGUGUUUGGCACCUCGAUGUCGGCUCAUCACAUCCUGGGGCUGAAGUAGGUCCCAAGGGUAUGGCUGUUCGCCAUUUAAAGUGGUACGCGAGCUGGGUUUAGAACGUCGUGAGACAGUUCGGUCCCUA